rnacentral:lncRNA from 1 species
UUUCCAGUCAUAUAGCAUUGUGGUCAGAAAAGAUGCUUGAUAUGAUUUCAAUUUUCUUAAGGUUACCAAGGUUGGAUUUGUAGCCCAGGAUGUGAUCAAUCUUAGAGAAUGUUCCAUGUGCACUUGAUAAGAAUGUGUAUUCUGUUGCUUUUGGAUGGAGUGUCCUAUAAACAUCUACUAAGUCCAUCUGGUUUAAAGCUUCAUUCAGGGCCUCUGUUUCCUUAUUGAUUUUCUGUCUGGUUGAUCUGUCCAUUGCUGUAAGUGGGGUGUUAAAGUCCCCCCACCAUUAUUGUGUUAUUGUUGAUUUGUCCUUUUAAGGUUGUUAGCAGUUGCCUUAUAUAUUGUGGUGAACCUAGGUUGGGGACGUAGCUAUUGAAAUUUGUUAUAUCUUCUUCUUAGAAUGAUCCUUUGAUCAUUAGGUAGUGACCUUCCUUGUCCCUUAAUAUAUUCUUCAUUUUAAAGUCUAUUUUGUCUGAUAUGAGUAUUGCUACUCCAGCUUUCUUUUGAUCCCCAUUUGCGUGAAAUAUUUUCUUCCAUCCUCUCACUUUCAAUUUGUAUGUGUCCCUAGAAGUGAAGUGGAUCUCUCGAAGACAGCAUAUAUGUGGGUCUUGUUUUUGUAUCCAUUCAGCCAGCCUGUGUAUUUUGGUUGGGGUGUUUAGUCCAUUAACAUUUAAGGCAAUUAUUGAUAUGUAUGUUCUUAUUGCCAUUUUAUUAAUUGCUUUGGAUGUGUUUUUGUUAGUCUUUUUUCUUUCCUACUUCUCUUGUUCACUCCUCUUCUGGUUUGAUGACUAUCUUUAGUGUUGUAUUUGAGUUGAUUUUUCUUUGUUUGUGUAUCAAUUGUAGAUUUUUGGUUUGCAGUUAUUGUGAAGUUUUGAUAUAAGAGUCUAUAUGUAUAUGAGAUUGUUUUAAGUUGUUCUCUUAAUUGCAAGUUCAUCUCCAGUGUCCUGCAUUUGCACCCACCUCGUCUCGGGAUUUCUGAUUUUGGUGGUAUAAUUGUGCAUGGAUGAUUUCUUCUCUUUACCAUAUAUAUACCUUUACUGGUGAGCCUUGUCAUUUGUGGAAUUUUUGUUUCCUGUUGCUGUCUUUUCUUUUAUGCCUAGAGAAGUUCCUUUAGUAUUUGUUGUAAGGCUGGUUUAGUGUUGCUGAAUUCUCUCAGCUUUUGCUUAUCUGUGAAGGUUUUGAUUUCUCCUUCAAAUCUGAAUGAGAGCCUUGCUGGGUAGAGCAAUCUUGGUUGGAGGAUUUUUCCUUUCAUCACGUUAAGUAUAUCAUGCCAUUCCCUUCUGGCCUGCAGAGUUUCUGCUGAAAAAUCUGCCAAUAGCCUUAUUGAAGUUCCCUUGUAUGUUAUUUGUUUCUUUUCCCUAGCUGCUUUCAAGAUUUUCUAUUUGUCUUUAAUUUUGGUCAGUUAGAUUAAUAUGUGUCUUGGGGUGUUCUCCUUGGGUUUAUUUUAUAUGGUGCUUGUGCUUCUUGGAUUUGAGUGAGUGGUUCCUUUCCCAUGUUAGGGAAGUUUUCAGCUAUUAUCUCUUGGAAUAUUUUUUCUGUCUCCUUCUCUCUCUCUCUUCUCCGUCUGGCAUCCUUAUAAUACAGAUGUUGGUGCAUUUAAUGUUGUCCCAGAGUUCUCUGAGACUCUCUUCAUUAGUUUUCAAUCUUUUUUCUCUUUUCUGUUCCACAUUCAUAAUUUCUUAUAGUCUACCCUCCACCUCGCUUAUUCAUUCUUCUGCCUCCUGUAUUCUGCUGUUGGCUGCUUCUAUGAAUUUUUUUUUCAGUUAUUGUAUUUUGCAUCUCUUCUUGCUUAAGUUUUAUAUCUUCUAUCUCUUUGCUCAGUGUUUCCUGUAAGUUAUCCAUCUUUGCCUCCAGUUUAUUUCCAAUGUCUUGCAUCAUCUUCAGCAUCAACAAUCUAAAGUCUUUUUCUUGGAGGCUGAGAAUAUCCUCAUCACUUAGCUGAUUUUCUGGGUUUUUUCCUUUCUCCCGCAUCUGAGUUAUAGUUCUCUGUCUUUUCAUUAUUAGAGGUUUUUGGUGUGGUGACAUUUUUACAGAUAAUAGAGUUGUAGCCUCUCCUACUUCUGGUGUCUGUCCCCCUUGUGGCUGAAGUCAGUAUGGGGGCUUGCUGUAGGCUUCCUGAUGGGAGGGCUGAUGCCUGCCCACUGGUAGGUGGAGCCAGUUCUAAUCCCUCUGGUGGGUGGGGCUUAGUCUGUGGAUGGGAUUAGAGGCAGCUGUGUGCCUGAGGGGUCUUUAGGUAGCCUAUUUACUGAGGGGUGGGGCUGUGAUCCCACCUGGAUUGUUGUUUGCCCUGGGGUUUCUCAGCCCUGACUGACAGUGCAGCCAGGUUUUCCCAAAAUGGCCACCUCCAGAGAAAGGCACAGCUGCUGAAUAUUCCUGGGAGCUUUGCCUUCAAUAUCCUUCCCUCACACUAAGCCACAUUCACCCCUGUUUUCCCAGGAUGUCCUCCGAGAACUGCAGUCAGGUUUGACCCAGAUUCCUAUGGAGACUUUGCUUUGCCCUGGGACUCAGUGCACGUGAAAGUUUGCGUGCACCUUUUAAGAAUGGGGUCUCUGUUUCCCCUGGUCCCGUGGAGCUCCUGCGCACAAGCCCCACUGGCCUUCAAUGCCAGAUGCUCCAGGGGCUCUUUGUCCCAGUGCCAGAUCCCCACAUGUGAGAGUUUGAUGUGGGGCUCAGAACUCUCACUCCUGUAGUUGAAUCUCUGUGAACCAGUUAGUUUCCAGUCUG